UGCAUGCAAGUCGCACGAGAAAUCACCUUCGGGUGAUGGACAGUGGCGGGCGGGUGAGUAACACGUAGGAACCUGCCCAGAAGUGGGGGACAACUUCCCGAAAGGGAAGCUAAUACCGCAUAUGGUCUACGGACCAAAGCUUCCGAGCGCUUCUGGGAGGGGCCUGCGGCGGAUUAGCUAGUUGGUGGGGUAACGGCCUACCAAGGCGACGAUCUGUAGCUGGUCUGAGAGGAUGGUCAGCCACACUGGGACUGAGACACGGCCCAGACUCC
rnacentral:rRNA from 1 species